GAAAGCCCAGGCGGCGGGGGAUGGGGUCGCGGCCCAUUAGGUAGUAGGCGGGGUAGAGGCCCACCUAGCCGACGAUGGGUAGCCGGACUGAGAGGUCGACCGGCCACAUUGGGACUGAGAUACGGCCCAGACUCCUACGGGAGGCAGCAGUGGGGAAUUUUGCGCAAUGGGGGAAACCCUGACGCAGCAACGCCGCGUGCGGGACGAAGGCCCUCGGGCUGUAAACCGCUUUCAGCAGGGAAGACGUCGACGGUACCUGCAGAAGAAGCUCCGGCUAACUACGUGCCAGCAGCCGCGGUAAUACGUAGGGGGCGAGCGUUAUCCGGAUUCAUUGGGCGUAAAGCGCGCGUAGGCGGCCGCCUAAGCGGAACCUCUAACCCCGGGGCUCAACCUCGGGCCGGGUUCCGGACUGGGCGGCUCGAGUGCGGUAGAGGAGAGCGGAAUUCCCGGUGUAGCGGUGGAAUGCGCAGAUAUCGGGAAGAACACCGAUGGCGAAGGCAGCUCUCUGGGCCGUCACUGACGCUGAGGCGCGAAAGCUGGGGGAGCGAACAGGAUUAGAUACCCUGGUAGUCCCAGCCGUAAACGAUGGACGCUAGGUGUGGGGGGACCUGCCCUCC
rnacentral:rRNA from 1 species